GGGCGUGUCCGACCCCGGCCCGGGGUCGACGUUGACCGUGCGAAGGGUAGUGGGUCCGCAUCCUGGCCUUGCGUAUCUUCUGCGCGUCUUGUAGUCGGUUGCUCCCCGAGUCUCCUUGGAACGACUGCCACAUGGCUGUCUCGCCAGCCCUUCCGCCCCACACGUCCAGCCUGCCCUAGCGCCGGCUCCCCUGCGCAGUCCUGUCUUCACGCUCCGUCAUCACCCAGCUCCUCUCUCCGCUAGGGCUGACGAAUUCCGCCGCCGUCUUUGCUGCCUGCAGGAUGCGGACCACAGCAGAUUUCUCACAGGGGACCUUGCUCCCAUUACCCACCCAGCCCAGAAUGGAGCUCAAAAUGAUUAGUUGAAGAAUUGCCCCCACCAGUGGAAUAAGUUGACCUAUCUGGACCUCUCUCCGUCUUUUCUCCCUUCCUUCACCUCACAUGCCCACGACCUGUCGCUGGAGAACGCAGCGUGGAGAGAGCACAGCUUGGAGUGAACAGUGCCGUCCGUAAAGAUGACGAUGAGGAGGACUGGAAUGCCACCGGUCCCUUCCCCUGGCUUGAUGUAAAGAGCCUCACCUCCAUCUCUGGGGAGGCGACCGAUGCCUGGGGAUUACUUCCUGGAGGACUUCGUUUCUGUGACCACAUGCAGAUGUCAGGAGUCUGCAGAGUUCAUCCGAGGAUCUAUCUCCAAGAGCCGUGAUUUUCAUAAAAGAGCCAUAAUAGUAGACUUCAUGCCACAUUCAUUUUUACCUUUCUGCCCCUCUGUGAGAAAUACUGUCAAUAAAACUCUCCACCAUAAUCCUUUUCAUCUUAAGCCCACUCACUUAUACUUAAUGUCCGCCAAAGUAGGUGGGUUAAAAGUAGCCUCUUGUUCUCUCCCCUUCAAGGUGAUUGGCACCCCUUUCCACUCCAAAUGAGAGAGAAAACCAGAGCUCAGCUGUGAACCCCUUCCAGAGGCUUGUUGGAGCCGCACACACCCCCCUGACAGAUACAACAGGGAUUAAUGAGCCGUGACCAGAAGUUUGAUUUUUCUGUCAAGUGCUCGCAUCCGUUUUUAAUAAACAGAAGAACAACAUAAACUCCAUUGCCUGCUCCGCAUGGCUUCCGCCAAGCGGGUUGCUCCUGGCACCAUGAAACAACCGACAAAUGCUUUUACGAGCCCCUUUGGUCGGCUACUCUGGCGACUGGCUCUGCUCCCCCAGACCCACUUCUUUGCCUCUGUUCAGUAUGGGCCUCUCCGUGCCUUGCCAGGGGAAACCGUCAAGUGUAAUAUCA